rnacentral:rRNA from 1 species
UACGUAGGGUGCAAGCGUUAAUCGGAAUUACUGGGCGUAAAGCGCACGUAGGCGGAUUGUUAAGUCGGGGGUGAAAUCCUGGAGCUCAACUCCAGAACUGCCUUCGAUACUGGCGAUCUCGAGUUCGGGAGAGGUGAGCGGAACUGCGAGUGUAGAGGUGAAAUUCGUAGAUAUUCGCAAGAACACCAGUGGCGAAGGCGGCUCACUGGCCCGAUACUGACGCUGAGGCACGAAAGCGUGGGUAGCAAACAGG